rnacentral:tRNA from 1 species
CGAGCGGUAGUUCAGUUGGUUAGAAUACCGGCCUUGUCACGCCGGGGGUCGCGGGUUCGAGUCCCGUCCGCUCCG